rnacentral:rRNA from 1 species
UACGUAGGGGGCAAGCGUUGUCCGGAAUCAUUGGGCGUAAAGAGCGUGUAGGCGGUCCGGUCAGUCGGUUGUGAAAGUCAAGGGCUCAACCCUUGAAUGCCGGCCGAUACUGCCGGGCUAGAGUCCGGAAGAGGUGAGUGGAAUUCCCGGUGUAGUGGUGAAAUGCGUAGAUAUCGGGAGGAACACCAGUGGCGAAGGCGACUACCUGGCCUGUUCUUGACGCUGAGGCGCGAAAGCUAGGGGAGCAAACGGG